AACUCAUGAUUGGGGCAUUUUCUCAACAACAUCUGAAAAUGCUCACAAGCUUCAUAAAAUGCUUCAUUUGCACCUUGUCGAAAAUUUGAUAUCUCAAACUUGGCAU
rfam:Lupinus angustifolius cultivar Tanjil contig_3472, whole genome shotgun sequence.